AUUGCAGGCUGCAACUCGCCUGCAUGAAGUCGGAAUUGCUGUAAUCGCAGAUCAGCAUGCUGCGGUGAAUACGUUCCCGGGCCUUGUACACACCGCCCGUCACACCAUGGGAGUCGGUAACACCCGAAGUCGGUAGCCUAACCGUAAGGAGGGCGCCGCCGAAGGUGGGAUUGAUGACUGGGGUGAAGUCGUAACAAGGUAGC
rnacentral:rRNA from 1 species